rnacentral:rRNA from 1 species
GAGCUUGCUCCAGGCGUCGAGCGGCGGACGGGUGAGUAAUGCAUAGGAAUCUGCCCGGUAGUGGGGGAUAACCUGGGGAAACCCAGGCUAAUACCGCAUACGUCCUACGGGAGAAAGCAGGGGAUCUUCGGACCUUGCGCUAUCGGAUGAGCCUAUGUCGGAUUAGCUUGUUGGUGAGGUAAUGGCUCACCAAGGCGACGAUCCGUAGCUGGUCUGAGAGGAUGAUCAGCCACAUCGGGACUGAGACACGGCCCGAACUCCUACGGGAGGCAGCAGUGGGGAAUAUUGGACAAUGGGCGAAAGCCUGAUCCAGCCAUGCCGCGUGUGUGAAGAAGGCUUUCGGGUUGUAAAGCACUUUCAGUGAGGAAGAAGGCCUUGGGGCUAAUACCCCCGAGGAAGGACAUCACUCACAGAAGAAGCACCGGCUAACUCCGUGCCAGCAGCCGCGGUAAUACGGAGGGUGCGAGCGUUAAUCGGAAUUACUGGGCGUAAAGCGCGCGUAGGCGGCGUGAUAAGCCGGUUGUGAAAGCCCCGGGCUCAACCUGGGAACGGCAUCCGGAACUGUCAGGCUAGAGUGCAGGAGAGGAAGGUAGAAUUCCCGGUGUAGCGGUGAAAUGCGUAGAGAUCGGGAGGAAUACCAGUGGCGAAGGCGGCCUUCUGGACUGACACUGACGCUGAGGUGCGAAAGCGUGGGUAGCAAACAGGAUUAGAUACCCUGGUAGUCCACGCCGUAAACGAUGUCGACUAGCCGUUGGGGUCCUAGAGACCUUUGUGGCGCAGUUAACGCGAUAAGUCGACCGCCUGGGGAGUACGGCCGCAAGGUUAAAACUCAAAUGAAUUGACGGGGGCCCGCACAAGCGGUGGAGCAUGUGGUUUAAUUCGAUGCAACGCGAAGAACCUUACCUACCCUUGACAUCGUGCGAACUUUCCAGAGAUGGAUUGGUGCCUUCGGGAGCGCACAGACAGGUGCUGCAUGGCUGUCGUCAGCUCGUGUUGUGAAAUGUUGGGUUAAGUCCCGUAACGAGCGCAACCCUUGUCCCUAUUUGCCAGCGAUUCGGUCGGGAACUCUAGGGAGACUGCCGGUGACAAACCGGAGGAAGGUGGGGACGACGUCAAGUCAUCAUGGCCCUUACGGGUAGGGCUACACACGUGCUACAAUGGCCGGUACAAAGGGUUGCGAAGCCGCGAGGUGGAGCUAAUCCCGAAAAGCCGGUCUCAGUCCGGAUCGGAGUCUGCAACUCGACUCCGUGAAGUCGGAAUCGCUAGUAAUCGUGAAUCAGAAUGUCACGGUG